rnacentral:rRNA from 1 species
AUGGGCAUUCGGAAGAUCGAGGAACUACACUAUGAAGUCGGCGUACCGUGCUCUCGUGACUCAGAAAGAGCGAGCUGCUCUAGAGGAAGGGACGGCUACCGGAACCUUAGAGGAAGAUACACAGUUGUGGAAAUCCCUAUGAAAAUUGAAUGUCAUCCCGAAGAGAUCCGUCGAUGCAAAGUUUGUUUGGCUAUGGACGAGAAUCUGGAACAUGCACUUAUACACUGCUCACAUGCAAAAUGCUUCUGGGAAGAAGCUUAUGCUUGGUUUGGCCUUAGAUUGCCUCGUCUUCAUCCUGACUCAUGGGCGCGGGAUAUCACAUGUGACUCUCGGUUUACUGAUGAUGACCGUUGCAAAAAUCACAACAAUAAUGUGGUCCAUCUGGCAUUCCCGGAAUCGGAUCAAGCACGGCGAAGAGGGGAGGAAUCCUACGGCGACGAUCAGGGCUACCAAGGAGGCGAUUGCCCUCCUUCAUCUUCCACGUCGUGA